rnacentral:tRNA from 1 species
UGGGGCGUGGCCAAGCUGGCAAGGCAACGGACUUUGAAUCCGUGUACCGCAGGUUCGAAUCCUGCCGCCCCAGCCA